rnacentral:rRNA from 1 species
UACGUAGGUGGCAAGCGUUGUCCGGAUUUACUGGGUGUAAAGGGCGUGCAGCCGGGAAGACAAGUCAGAUGUGAAAUCCCGCGGCUCAACCGCGGAACUGCAUUUGAAACUGUUGAUCUUGAGUACUGGAGAGGCAGACGGAAUUCCUAGUGUAGCGGUGAAAUGCGUAGAUAUUAGGAGGAACACCAGUGGCGAAGGCGGUCUGCUGGACAGCAACUGACGGUGAGGCGCGAAAGCGUGGGGAGCAAACAGG